rnacentral:pre_miRNA from 1 species
UAGGUCUUGUUGGAGAAGCAGGGCACGUGCAAAAGAGUGCCUUAUUCCCCAUUUGGCUUCAAUACAUAUAUAUAUAUAUGUGCGUUGUUGCACGUGCUCCCCUUCUCCAACUGGGGUUA